UGAAUGCUGGCGGCGUGCCUAAUACAUGCAAGUCGAGCGAACGGACGAGAAGCUUGCUUCUCUGAUGUUAGCGGCGGACGGGUGAGUAACACGUGGAUAACCUACCUAUAAGACUGGGAUAACUUCGGGAAACCGGAGCUAAUACCGGAUAAUAUUUUGAACCGCAUGGUUCAAAAGUGAAAGACGGUCUUGCUGUCACUUAUAGAUGGAUCCGCGCUGCAUUAGCUAGUUGGUAAGGUAACGGCUUACCAAGGCAACGAUGCAUAGCCGACCUGAGAGGGUGAUCGGCCACACUGGAACUGAGACACGGUCCAGACUCCUACGGGAGGCAGCAGUAGGGAAUCUUCCGCAAUGGGCGAAAGCCUGACGGAGCAACGCCGCGUGAGUGAUGAAGGUCUUCGGAUCGUAAAACUCUGUUAUUAGGGAAGAACAUAUGUGUAAGUAACUGUGCACAUCUUGACGGUACCUAAUCAGAAAGCCACGGCUAACUACGUG
rnacentral:rRNA from 1 species